rnacentral:rRNA from 1 species
AUGCUUGCUGAGCUUGAGCAUCUCGCCCGUGGCGCUGCGGCCAUACUUUGCCUACUGGUCUUCCAUGUUGCAUUGUCUGAUUUCCGUGCUCAAGCAAGGAUGUCAGGUGGGACGCAAACUUGCAUCAGCAUGGAGCGGGAUGCGCUUCUAUCCUUCAAGGCAGGCCUUCUGGACCCUGUUGGUCGUCUCUCAUCAUGGCAGGGCGAAGAAUGCUGUCAGUGGGAGGGAGUCCGGUGCAACAGCAGAACAGGUCAUGUCAUAAAGCUCGAUCUCCGCAACACCUACAUGCCUGACUAUGAUGCCGUCAUGAAUGGCUACGCCAGGCUCAACAGGCUCAACAGCCAAAGCUUGUUCAUAGAUGAGAUGAGCUCCUCUUUAGCUGUUUUGCAACAAUUGAGGUAUCUUGAUCUGAGUGGGAAUGACUUCAAUGGCACUACCAUACCUUUGUUCGUGGGCUCUCUGGAGAACUUAAGGUACCUCAAUCUCUCGUGGUCAGGUUUUGGUGGGAGAAUACCUUCCCAACUCGGUAAUCUCUCAAACUUGGAAUAUCUUGAUAUUAGUGGGAAUUACUAUCAGCAGGUUGAUAUCGGUGACAAUUAUUUAUAUCGUCUACACACCGUCGAUCUAGCAUGGUUGAAGCAUCUCCCAUUGCUGCGUAAUCUUGACAUGAGUGAUGUGGACCUCAGUCAUGUGCAGGAUUGGGUUUACCUGCUUAACAUGCAUUCUUCUCUGAUAGUGCUUCGCUUGGUAGAUUGUGGGCUUACCAGCACAAUGUCAGCUACUUCAAAAUCAAACCUCACACAUCUUGAAGUCCUUGAUCUGUCAUGCAACUCGUUUAACACAACACUAGAGCACUACUGGUUUUGGGAUCUCACCGGCCUUAAAAAGCUUCACCUAGGUGUCUGUGACUGGCAUGGACGUAUUCCUAAAGAACUGGGAAACAUGACGUCCCUUCAAGUCAUAGAUUUAGGUUUCAAUUAUCUUGUGGGUUUGAUACCGAGCAACUUACAAAAUUCUUGCAAUUUGAAAGUGUUGAUUUUUGAGUAUAACAACAUCAACGCAAGCAUAGAGGAGUUCAUGGAUCGGUUGCCAAGGUGCUCAUGGAGUACAAUACAAGAGUUCUCAGUGGGCUAUGCAAGCAUGAGCGGAAAACUACCAAUUUGGAUUGGGAACAUGACUAGUCUCACUGUUCUUUCAGCUGGUCAAAACAUGAUAACUGGUACUGUGCCGAUCGGAGUAGGGGCACUUGGUAACUUGACAGUGUUAAAACUCGGUGGAAAUAAACUCGAGGGCAUGCUCGCAAAGGAGCAUUUUUCAGGCUUACAGAAUUUAGAGUCUCUGGACUUGUCGGGCAACUCGUUGAAAAUGCAUAUUGAUCCAAAUUGGGUUCCUCCCUUUAGACUAAAGAGCAUAAACUUAGAGUCGUGCACAGUGGGGCCCCGUUUUCCAGAGUGGCUUAGAUGGCAGACCAACAUUGAUAUUCUUUAUCUCGGAAAUACAAGUUUGGAUGAUGUUAUUCCUGAUUGGUUUUGGAUGACGUUUUCCAGAGCUUUGUUCUUGGAUGCAUCAGGAAACAUGUUGCGCGGUUCAUUACCGUUAAAUCUACAACACAUGUCAACUAAAUCUCUGUCUCUUGGGUCCAAUAACCUGACAGGUCUAAUACCACGACUCCUCCCUGUAAAUAUAUCAAAAUUGCAUCUGUCUUCAAACUCUUUCUCAGGGUCAUUGCCAUUAGGGCUAAAAGCUCCAUUACUUGAGGAGUUAUCGCUAGCAAAUAAUCAAAUUAUAGGUAUCAUUCCAUGA